rnacentral:lncRNA from 10 species
GGAGCGCCUCUGACUGACUUCCCCCAUGUGUCCGUGUGGCCACACCGUGCUACUUUCAGAGGCAGUGGGCUUUUCGCUAAGGGAUAAAAAGAAGUAAAACCUUGCCUUUAGCGCAGCUCUCCUUCACUGGGCAGAUUGCUCUCCCUCCCCACUCUCCCAGGCCCAAAUUGGAUCUCAGCGCCUGGGAGCUCCAACUUUAGCAAGUGCGAAAUCCUGUCUUCGGUUUUGGAAUUUUCAUCCGCACAGACUAUAUCAGCCACGGAUAGGAUAUGUGAGAAUACCAGCAUGUCAAGGCUGGGAAUCAUCCUUAGGCAUCACCUAGCCAGUCCUGCCUCUCAUUUUAAGAGAAUAGACGCCUUGAUGGCUCCUCUGGCAGUUCUUGAUGACCAUGGAUGAGCUAAUGGCUGUGGUCUCAAUGGUGGCUUCUUGAGGUUCUCCACAGGCAACCCAUUUAUCAGAACCACGUGGACAUCUUUCAACUAUCCUGGACAACAACCAUGUUAUUUCUUAGCCAUUGGACUUCCACCUUAUCUUUAUUGAGUUCUGCUAAAAAGACAACAUCAGCACCAGGGGCUUCAAGAAUAUCUUGUGGAGGCCUGAUGAUCUCAACAGGAAUUUC